AUGUGUGAGCCACCAUGCCUUUUUGCCUUUCUAACGGAGCCCCUGGCAAAUUCAAAAACUGUUUUGCUCUCUGUCUGCAAGUCUCCCUGGCAGAUCCCUCAGUUAUAUUCGUACCCACCCCUUGAAUGCUGUGGCUUCCAGAGAUCCACCGGAACACCAAAGACUUCCAUUCUCAACCACCUGAAUCUCCGGAAUCCCCUGCACCCACCUCCUCUCCCAGUGUUUCACGAAUCAGCUAAUCCUUCAAGGUCUUUAAAAUGUAUCCACGUCUUCCUCCUGGAUUAUUGCCUCCUGAUAGCCUCUCUGAUUUCUUUCCACCUUGUGCCCUAACAGUCUGCUCUUUGUACAGCAGCCAGAAGGAGGCUGUGAAAAAUAAGAGUCAAAGCAUGGGCUGGGCGUGGUGGCUCAUGCCUGUAAUCCCAGCACUUUGGGAGGCCAUGGCAAGAGGACUGCUUAGGCCCAGGAGUUCAAGAUAAACUUAGGCAACAUAGCGAGACCCUGUCUCUACAAAAAAAAAAAAAAUUAAAAUAGGCCAGGCGCAGUGGCUCAUGCCUAUAAUCCUAGCACUAUGGGAAGCAGAGGCAGGCAGAUCACCUGAGUUCAGGAGUUCAAGACCAGCCUGGCCACCAUGGUGAAACUUUGUCUCUACAAAAAUACAAAAAUUAGCUGGGCAUGAUGACGGGUGCCUGUAAUCCCAGCUACUCAGGAGGCUGAGGCAGGAAAAUCACUUAAACCCAAGAGGUGGAGGUUGCAGUGAGCUGAGAUCAUGCCAUUGAACUCUAGCCUGGGCAACAGAGCAAGACUCCAUCUCAAAAAUAAAAUAAAAUAAAAAAUGAGCCAGGUAUGGUAGUGCACACCUGUAGUCCCAGGUACUUGGGAAACUGAGGCAGGAGGAUCACUUGAGCCCAGGAGGUUGAGGUUGCAGUGAGCUGUGAUCAGCCACUGCACUGCAGCCUGGGGCACAGAGCAAGACCCUGUCCAAAAAAAAAGAAAAAGAAAAUGAUAGACCAGAGCUUAAUGUCUUUCCAUGGUUCUGCAUAUAUGUCAGAGUCAAAACUAAAUUCCCUCCAAGGACCUAUUGGUUUGUCCCUGCCCUUAUGUCCCUCCCCAGAUUCCUUCUCUCCCACCUCGUUCACUCUGUUUCAGCUGCUCUGGUUUACUUGCUGUUUCUCAAACUCACUCCUGCCUCAAGUCCCUUGCAUUUCCUGGAACAUCCUUCCACCUACCCAAAUACCUAAAUAGUUCCAUCCUCACUUCAUUAAGUCCUCUGCUCAGAUGUCACCUCUUCAAAGACUGUGCUACCUCACCCCUGAACCCUGACACCCACUACCUCUCUUG
rnacentral:lncRNA from 1 species